rnacentral:rRNA from 1 species
UACGGAAGGCAGCAGUGGGGAAUAUUGCACAAUGGGCGCAAGCCUGAUGCAGCCAUGCCGCGUGUAUGAAGAAGGCCUUCGGGUUGUAAAGUACUUUCAGCGGGGAGGAAGGCGAUGCGGUUAAUAACCGCGUCGAUUGACGUUACCCGCAGAAGAAGCACCGGCUAACUCCGUGCCAGCAGCCGCGGUAAUACGGAGGGUGCAAGCGUUAAUCGGAAUUACUGGGCGUAAAGCGCACGCAGGCGGUCUGUUAAGUCAGAUGUGAAAUCCCCGGGCUUAACCUGGGAACUGCAUUUUGAAACUGGCAGGCUUGAGUCUUGUAGAGGGGGUAGAAUUCCAGGUGUAGCGGUGAAAUGCGUAGAGAUCUGGAGGAAUACCGGUGGCGAAGGCGGCCCCUGGGACAAAGACUGACGCUCAGGGUGCGAAAGCGUGGGGAGCGAAACAGGGAUUAGAUACCCGGU